UAGGGAAUAUUAGAAAUGGACGAAAGUCUGAUCUAGCAACACCGCGUGUGCGAAGAAGGCCUUCGGGUCGUAAAGCACUUUUUGGAAGGAAUAGGAAGGAAUGUACUUCCAGAAUAAGUCUCGGCUAACUACGUGCCAGCAGCCGCGGUAACACGUAGGAGGCGAACGUUAUCCGGAUUUACUGGGCGUAAAGCGCGUGUAGGUGGUUCUGUAAGUAGGGCGUGAAAGCUCCUGGCUCAACUGGGAGAGGCCGGUCUAAACUACAGAACUAGAGGAUGGUAGAGGGAGGUGGAAUUCCAGGUGUAGCGGUGGAAUGCGCAGAUAUCUGGAGGAACACCAGUGGCGAAGGCGGCCUCCUGGACCACUCCUGACACUCAGACACGAAAGCUAGGGUAGCAAACG
rnacentral:rRNA from 1 species